UACGGAGGGUGCAAGCGUUAUCCGGAUUUACUGGGUUUAAAGGGUGCGUAGGCGGGCCAUUAAGUCAGUGGUGAAAGCUCCGAGCUUAACUCGGAAACUGCCAUUGAUACUAUUGGUCUUGAAUUCGGUCGAGGUUGGCGGAAUGUGUCGUGUAGCGGUGAAAUGCUUAGAUAUGACACAGAACACCGAUUGCGAAGGCAGCUAGCUAGACCGACAUUGACGCUGAGGCACGAAAGCGUGGGGAGCGAACAGG
rnacentral:rRNA from 1 species